rnacentral:rRNA from 1 species
GAUGAACGCUAGCUACAGGCUUAACACAUGCAAGUCGAGGGGCAGCAUGAACUUAGCUUGCUAAGUUUGAUGGCGACCGGCGCACGGGUGAGUAACACGUAUCCAACCUGCCGAUGACUCGGGGAUAGCCUUUCGAAAGAAAGAUUAAUACCCGAUGGCAUAGUUCUUCCGCAUGGUAGAACUAUUAAAGGAUUUCGGUCAUCGAUGGGGAUGCGUUCCAUUAGGUUGUUGGCGGGGGUAACGGGCCCCACCAAGCCUUCGAUGGAUAGGGGUUCUGAGAGGAAGGUCCCCCACAUUGGAACUGAGACACGGUCCAAACUCCUACGGGAGGCAGCAGUGAGGAAUAUUGGUCAAUGGACGAGAGUCUGAACCAGCCAAGUAGCGUGAAGGAUGACUGCCCUAUGGGUUGUAAACUGCUUUUAUAAGGGAAUAAAGUGAGUCUCGUGAGACUUUUUGCAUGUACCUUAUGAAUAGGACGGCUAAUUCCGUG